UUCGACCCGUCUUGAAACACGGAC
rnacentral:siRNA from 1 species